rnacentral:rRNA from 1 species
CCUACGGGUGGCAGCAGUGGGGAAUAUUGGUCAAUGGGCGCUAGCCUGAACCAGCCACGUAGCGUGAAGGAUGACUGCCCUAUGGGUUGUAAACUUCUUUUAUAUGGGAAUAAAGUGCAGUAUGUAUACUGCUUUGCAUGUACCUUCUGAAUAAGGAUCGGCUAACUCCGUGCCAGCAGCCGCGGUAAUACGGAGGUUCCGAGCGUUAUCCGGAUUUAUUGGGUUUAAAGGGAGCGUAGGCGGGUUGUUAAGUCAGUUGUGAAAGUUUGCGGCUCAACCGUGAAAUUGCAGUUGAUACUGGGAUGCUGGAGUGCAGUAGAGGUAGGCGGAAUUCGUGGUGUAGCGGUGAAAUGCGUAGAUAUCACGAAGAACUCCGAUUGCGAAGGCAGCCUACUGGACUGUAACUGACGCUGAGGCUCGAAAGUGUGGGUAUCAAACAGGAUUAGAUACCCGAGUAGUC